UAAGACGAAGGGAGCGAGCGUUGUUCGGUAUUACUGGGCUUAAAGGGCGCGCAGGCGGCCAUGCAUGUCGGUUGUGAAAUCCCUGGGCUUAACCCAGGAAUUGCUUCCGAAACUGCAUGGCUUGAGGCAUUCUGGGGGCGACUGGAACUCUUGGUGGAGCGGUGAUAUGCGUAGAUAUCAAGAGGAAUGCCGGUGGUGAAGACGGGUCGCUGGGAAUGUCCUGACGCUGAGGCGCGAAAGCUAGGGGAGCGAACGGGAUUAGAUACCCCGGUAGUCCUAGCCGUAAACGAUGUGCACUAGGCUGCGGAAGUUCUGACACUUUCGCGGCCGGAGCAAAAGUGUUAAGUGCACCGCCUGGGGAGUACGGUCGCAAGGCUA
rnacentral:rRNA from 1 species